UAAUAAGUAAUAUGAGGACGUCAGCCUUGUAUGAAUAAGGGGGUACCAUCCUCCAAGGCUAAGUAUAAUAUAUCUAGCGAUAGUGGAGAGUAACGUGAGUGAAAGGUGAAAAGUAAGUAGAUGACUAGUGAAAUAGAACCUGAACUAGUAAUCCUAUAAGCAGUUGGAGUUUUAGUAAAAAAUGACAACGUACCUUUUGCAUAAUGGGUCAGCGAGUUAGUUUAUAGAGCAAGAUGAAUAAUCUAAGCGAAAGCAACUAUAAUAAGUGGAUCAAAAAUAGUUUUAUGAACUAGACCCGAAGCCAAAUGAUCUUACUAUGGCCAGGCUAAAAAAGGGCCGAACAGGUGAAUGUUGCAAAAUUCUCUGAUGAGCUGUGGUAAGGGGUGAAAGGCCAAUCUAAUUUGGAUGAUAGCUGGUAUUCUGCGAAACCUAUUUAGGUAGGGCCUUUAUUUACACUUUUAUAUGUACAGCACUGAUCAUCAUACAUUAGCCAGAUAUUUAUAUCACUAUGUUAAAUUGGGGGGUCUCACAACUCUACCAUUGAUGGUUAACCUCGGAAGGAUAAUAGUGAAUGAUAAGGGCACAGUCUAUUCAUGAUAAGGUGGAUAGACAAAAGGGAAACAGCCCAGAGCACGUGUUAAGGUCCCAAAAUAUUGUUAAGUGAAUAUAAGAAAGUUUAACUCCUAAUACAACCAUGAAGUAGGCUUGGAGGUAGCCAUCUUUUAAUGAUAGUGUAACAACUCAGUGGUCCAUGUUUCCCUAAUCCCUUACAGGGAUUAGGGAAACACAAAAAGAAAAAGAAAUUUUUCUUGCAGUUUCCUAGGAAACAGGAGGAGAUAAGCGUCGAAAAUUAACGGGUCUUAGACAAUAUACCUACACCGUGACUAUUUAUAAUAUAUUCUAUUUUUAUUAUAAAUAAGGGUAGCAGAACAUUCAGUAUCUGAUUGAAGGGAAAUGUUUCAUUUACUGGACAGUACUGAAGAGAAAAUGCUGACAUGAGUAACGUAGAAAGGAGUUAAAACACUCCUCGCCGAAUACGAGAGGGUUUCAUGGAAAAGUUAAUCUGCCAUGAGUUAUACGGACUCUAAGGAUUAUAUGACGAAUGUUUAUAUCUGAUGAGAAUAAUAACACUGAAUUAUCUAUAUAUAAUAUCAUUUAAUCUGUAUGAGAUUGUACAGAGUAAAGGAUAGAUCAAGAAAAAUAAGUGUCACUAAAUUUAUAGUGAAUCCGUACCCUAAACCGACACAGGUUCGUAGGUAGAGAAUACUAAGGCGUAGAGAUAAUGCUUGUGAAGGAACUCGGCAAAUUGUGCCCGUAAGUUAGACGAUAAGGGUAACCAGAAUAAAAUAAUUCUAUUCUAAUUCUGAGUGUCACAUAAUCGAGGGCUGCGACUGUUUACCAAAAACACAGCAACUUGCUAAGACGAAUAGUACUUGUAUAAGUUGUGAACUCUGCCCAAUGCCAUGUCGUGUAAAGAAGGUGAUUUAUUUAGUAGUUAUACUAAAUAGUGUCACUAACUGAUGCCAUGGUGAAUGGCGGUCUUAACUAUAAGGAUCUGAAAGUAGCGAAAUUCCUUGGCCAUUAAAUGUGGUCCUGCAUGAAUGAGGUAACGUGGCCCUGCUGUCUCCACAAGCAUCUCAGUGAAAUUGAAUUAGCCGUGCAGAUGCGGUUUACCUUCAGUUAGACGGGAAGACCCUAUGCAGCUUUACUGUAACUUGAUAUUGUUUCUUCUAUAGCUAAGUGUAGUAUACAAGGGAGUAGAUAUUUUCUACAUCAGUGAAAUACCUUGAUUAGUCUAAAGAAGAAACUUACCUAAAUGACACUAAUCGAAUAGUUCUUCAUGAGAUAUUGCGAAGAUCUCUAGUUUACGUCUCUAUAAAUUAAAUAGGAUUUAAUUUUCAUUUUUUUUUUUCUAUUAGGUUUAUGGAAAGAGGAGUUUAUUCUCUUCUUUCCAUAAAUGGAAUAGAGGAAGAAUUCUUCCUCUAUUCCAUUUAUAAUACAGCCCCUUUUAUAUUUAUAAAAUAUAAGAUAAACUGUAUAUGAAUAAUUUAUUAAAUUUAGUAGUCUGGGAAAAUAUCAGGUGGUCAGUUUGACUGGGACGGUAGCCUCUAAUAAAGUAUCAGAGGCCUUCAAAGGUAUGCAUAUAUUGGUCAGAAACCAAUGAACUAUGUAAAGUUUAUUAAAGCGUAAUAGUAUAAGCAUGCUUGACUGAAAGACUGAUAGGUCGAUCAGAUACGCAAGUAGGAUAUAGUGAUCCGGUGAUUCAUUAUGGAAUGGUCAUCGCUCAAGAAAUAAAAGUUACGCUAGGGAUAACAGGUUUAUCGUUUGCGAGAGUUCAUAUUGUCCAAACGGUUUGACACCUCGAUGUCGACUCAUCUCAUCCUCCAGGUGUAGUAGCUUGGAAGGGUUCAGCUGUUCGCUGAUUAAAGAGGUACGCGAGUUGG
rnacentral:rRNA from 1 species